UGGUAAGCUUGCUGCGGAGCGAUCAUGUGUACGUGCCCGUCAAUAGCAGCGGCUGUCAAAAUAAGGUGCUCUCCCGAAAUGGCGUCCGUGGCGGCUCCUGUAACCAAUUCCGGGGUUACCCCUUGCAUGAUAUUCGGAUUCCCGGCUUUGCCGAUUCCGGCGAUUUUUCCGUCUUUGAUGCCGACGUCGGCUUUGAUGACUCCUAAUUUCGGAUCGAUAAUCGUUACAUUGGUGAUGACAAGAUCAAGGGUUCCUCCUUCGGAAGUUAAGGUAUUUGCCAGUCCCAUGCCGUCG
rfam:Porphyromonadaceae bacterium OTH 308042 contig44, whole genome shotgun sequence.